rnacentral:lncRNA from 1 species
AAAAUGGGGCUAGAACCUUCCUCCUGUGUUCCAAGGACUCAAUGAGGUAAUGGGGGGUAAUGUUCUUAGAAGAGGGCCUGGUGCCUAAGGACCGUAGAAGUGUGUGUGUGGUGGGUAUGUUUUUGUCCUUACACUUCUGAUUCACGGCCUUUUCCAACAGUCUCCUGACGGGUGGCGACCCUCGCCUGCCAUUUUGUUCACGGUACAUUGGAGCGGACCAAAGAAGCCCUGUUGCAGCAGGUUGCGCUGUCCGAGUCCCAACUAUGUGAGAUGCAGCUACAAAGUGGUCAGAUCACUUUUUCCCGUCGAUGAUGUGAUUCGUUUCCUGGCUUUGUCCGUUACAUCGUGGGUUCCAGGCUAAAAGGGGGAAACAGAACAUAAACUGAUGAGACAAACGCACGGAACCUGCAAGAACUGUAAAUGAGA